AAAGGCAACAGCUCAAAUUUGAAAUCUGGCCCCUUCGGGGUCCGAGUUGUAAUUUGUAGAGAGUGCUUCGGGUGAGACCAUGGUCUAAGUCUAUUGGAACAUUACGUCAUAGAGGGUGAGAACCCCGUAUGUGACCGUGGCUCGAGCCCAUGUGAAGCCUCUUCGACGAGUCGAGUUGUUUGGGAAUGCAGCUCAAAAUGGGUGGUAAAUUUCAUCUAAAGCUAAAUACUGGCUGGAGACCGAUAGCGCACAAGUAGAGUGAUCGAAAGAUGAAAAGCACUUUGGAAAGAGAGUCAAACAGUACGUGAAAUUGUUGAAAGGGAAGCGCUGGCAACCAGACCUGUCCGUAGACGAUCAGCCGCUGUUCUCAGUGGUGCACUCGUUCUGCGAUCAGGCCAGCAUCGGUUUCGGCGGUCGGAUAAAGGCCUGGGGAACGUAGCUCCCUUUCGGGGGAGUGUUAUAGCCCCGGGCGCAAUGCGGCCAGCCGGGACCGAGGACCGCGCUUCGGCUAGGAUGCUGGCGUAAUGGUUGUCAGCGACCCGUCUUGAAACACRG
rnacentral:rRNA from 1 species